UCCUUUCUGUAGGUGUGUUAUUUAUAUAAAACAAAUUGAAUAUUGUAUCACAGAAUGGACU
rnacentral:pre_miRNA from 1 species